rnacentral:rRNA from 1 species
AAAAAUAAAUGCUUUAGGUGAAUACCUAAGGACUCAAAGAUGAGGAAGGGCGUUUAAACCUGCGAAAAUUUCUAGUAAGUUGGAAAAAAACAUUGAUCUAGAAGUACCCGAAUAGAGCAAUCUUAUAUAACAAAACUACUGGAAAAAUUCAUAAACCAGUAAGAAAAAACUUAGUGAACUGAAACAUCUUAGUAGCUAAAGGAAAAAAAAGCAAAAGCGAUUUCCUUAGUAGCGGCGAGCGAAACGGAAUUUGCCUAAACUGAAAAAUCAGGGUUGUGGGAUAAAAAAAAAAAAAAAAAGGAAAUUUUAAGCAGCUGAAACCUGCACCAUAGAUGGUGAAAGUCCAGUUUUAUUUUCUUUAGCGGCGCUAAAGCGCCAAAAAUAAAAUUUCCCGAGUAGCUUGGGACACGUGUAAUCCCUUGUGAAUCAACGAGGACCACCUCGUAAGGCUAAAUACUCUUGAGUCACUGAUAGUGAAAAGUACCGUGAGGGAAAGGUGAAAAAGAACCCCUAUAGGGGAGUGAAAGAGAUUAUGAAACCUGAAGCAAUCAAUCUGUGGGAGGCUAUUGCUGACCGCAUGCCUGUUGAAGAAUGAGCCGGCGACUCAUAAUUUUUGGCACGGUUAAAGAAAUUUUCUGUAGCCAGAGUGAAAACAAGUCUAAAAAUGGCGUUUUAAAUAUGUCAAAAAUUAUGGACCCGAACCCGGGUGAUCUAACCAUGACCAGGAAGAAGCUGAGGUAAAACUUAGUGGACGUCCGAACCGACCGAUGUUGAAAAAUCGCCGGAUGAGUUGUGGUUAGGGGUGAAAUGCCAAUCGAACUCGGAGCUAGCUGGUUCUCCCCGAAAUGCGUUUAGGCGCAGCAAUUGUCGAAGCACUAUUAAGAGGUAGAGCACUGUUUCGGUACGGGCCAGUCAAAUGGUACCAAAUUGUCGCAAACUCCGAAUUCUUAAUAACGAAUAGCCGACAAUAAGUGAGACUCUGGGGGAUAAGCUCCAGAGUCAAAAGGGAAACAGCCCAGAUCAUCAGCUAAGGCCCCUAAGUAAUUACUAAGUGUUAAAGGAAGUCUCAACGCAGAAACAGCCAGAAGGUUCGCUUAGAAGCAGCUACCCUUGAAAGAAUGCGUAAUAGCUCACUGGUUAAUUAAAGCGUAGAUGCGCCGAAAAUGUCCGGGACUAAGUAAUUUGCCGAAGCUAUGAGAGACUUUUGUCUCGGUAGGGGAGCGUUCUGUUUUAGAGGUGAAGACUCUUUGUAAAAGAGGUUGGAUCAAACAGAAGUGAGAAUGUCGGCUUGAGUAACGCAAACAUUGGUGAGAAUCCAAUGCCCCGUAAACCUCAGGUUUCCUCUACAAGGCUCGUCCAUGGAGGGUUAGUCAGGACCUAAGAUAAGGCUGAAAAGCGUAAUCGAUGGAAAACAGGCAAAUAUUCCUGUACUUAUUUGAAUUUUGUGACAAAGGACGAAGGAGGCAACAUCAAAUUGGUUACGCAAUGGUAGUAAUGGAAGUGUUCAACAUAGAGUAAAAGAAAAAAAACUUUUGCUAUAAAUUAUGGAGACAUUAACCUACAAUUUCUCGAUUUUAAAGAGACAAUUGUUCAAAUGAAUUUUGUCAAACUUACAAGAAAAAUUUGAGACACUUAUAUAUUCAAAUAACCUGUACCUUAAACCGACACAGGUAGGUGGGUUGAGUAUACUCAGGGGCGCGAGAGAACUCUCUCUAAGGAACUCGGCAAAAUAGCCCCGUAACUUCGGGAGAAGGGGUGCCUCAUUAAAAACAGAGAGGCCGCAGUGAAAUGACUUUUUGAACUGUUUACCUAAAACAUAGGUCUCCGCAAAGUCGUAAGACAACGUAUGGGGGCUGACGCCUGCCCAGUGCCGGAAGGUUAAAGAAAUUGGUAAAACGCUGAUAACUGAAGCCCCGGUGAACGGCGGCCGUAACUCUAGCGAAAUUCCUUGUCACGUAAGUUGUGACCCGCACGAAAGGCGUAAUCAAAAAAGUACUGUCUCGGAGAGAGACUCGGUGAAAUAGACAUGUCUGUGAAGAUGCGGACUUCUAAUAGUUGGACAAAGAGACCCCGUGAAGCUUGACUGUAUCUUGAUAUUGGUUUCCAGUUGUUUUUGCGCAGUCUAGGUGGGAGGCUAUGAAAUUAGAUUUGUGGAUUUAAUGGAGCCGUUAUUGAGAGACCACUCUGAAACAACUAGAAUUCUAAAAGUGUUUCCUUGAACCAGGACACUUGACAGUGUCAGGGGGGCAGUUUUUUUGGGGCGAAAACCUCCUAAAAAGUAACGGAGGUUUGCAAAGGUUUCCUCAAACUGGACGGAAAUCAGUUGUUGAGUGUAAAGGCAAAAGGAAGCUUGACUGCAAGACUAAUAAGUCGAGCAGAGGCGAAAGCCGGCCUUAGUGAUCCGACGGUACCUUGUGGAAGGGCCGUCGCGCAAAAGAUAAAAGUUACUCCGGGGAUAACAGGCUCAUCUUCCCCAAGAGUUCACAUCGACGGGAAGGUUUGGCACCUCGAUGUCGACCUUUCGCAACCUGGGGCGGUAGUACGUCCCAAGGGUUGGGCUGUUCGCCCAUUAAAGCGGAACACGAGUUGGGUUCAGAACGUCGUGAGACAGUUUGGUCCAUAUCCGCUAUUAGCGAUAGAAUAUUGAGAGGAUUUUUCCAUAAUACGAGAGGACUUGGAAGAACAUACCUCUGGUGUACCAGUUCUUAUACCACUAGGAAACGCUGGGUAGCUAUGUAUGGAGUAGAGUACCGCUGAAGGCAUCUAAGUGGGAAGCUCACCUCAAGAUGAAUAUUCUCCAAAAGACUCCGGCGAGAUCAGCCGGUUGAUAGGUUUCAGGUGCAAGAUUUGUAAAAAUUUUAGCUGAGAAAUACUAAUGAUCGAUUGUUUUUGAU